UACGAAGGGGGGCUAGCGUUGCUCGGAAUUACUGGGCGUAAAGGGCGUGUAGGCGGAGCGGCGCAUCCUGGAGUAAAUCUAUCGGCUCAACUGAUAGGCUUUCUAGGAGAUGGCCGCCCCUUGAGGGCAGCAGAGGAAAGUGGAAUUCCCGGUGUAGCGGUGAAAUGCGUAGAUAUCAGGUGGAACACCAGUGGCGAAGGCGGCUUUCUGGACGGUAACUGACGCUGGAGAACGCGAAAAGCGUGGGGAGCAAACAGG
rnacentral:rRNA from 1 species